GCCUGCAUUCGAAAGUGAUGAAGGCCUUCACCCUGUGGCCUCUGUCAUUGAUAGUGCAGGCAGAGAAUACCUGAAAGCAUUUCCCGUGUUUGUGGGGCCUCUUGCCAUCUCCUUCAAACCCUGAGCUUUUCAGACA